GGCACAUUGUCAUUUUAAGGAUCGUGUGGGUCGCCAGCAUCAAGCCUGGUGUUUGUGGUGGCUGGAGGUUUUUGAGGGGCCA
ensembl:miRNA MIR9801 microRNA mir-9801